UAAAAAUGUAAAAUAUUAAAUUAGAGUAGUAAUAGUUAUGGUCUUGAAACUCAAAAAAUUUGGCGGUAUUUUAGUCUAUUCAGAGGAACCUGUGGUGUAAUCGAUAAUCCACGAUGAAUCUUACUUAAUUUUGUUUUUCAAUUUGUAUACCGCCGUUAUUAAAAAUUUUUGAAGAAUAAUAAUUUUUAAAAUUUCGUAUUAGAAAAAAAGUCAGGUCAAGGUGCAGUUUAUGUUUAAGUAUUUCAUGGGUUACAAUAAAUAUAUUUAUAUGGAUUAAAUUAUGAAAUUAAUUUAUGAAAUUGGAUUUGAUAGUAAAUUUUUAAAGAUAAAAAAAUUGAUU
rnacentral:rRNA from 1 species